rnacentral:rRNA from 1 species
UACGGAGGGAGCUAGCGUUGUUCGGAUUGAUCUGGGCGUAAAGCGCGCGUAGGCGGCUUUGUAAGUUAGAGGUGAAAGCCCGGGGCUCAACCCGGAACUGCCUUUAAGACUGCAUCGCUUGAAUCCGGGAGAGGUGAGUGGAAUUCCGAGUGUAGAGGUAGAAAUUCGUAGAUAUUCGGAGGACACCAGUGGCGAAGGCGGCUCACUGGCUCGAUACUGACGCUGAGGUGCGAAAGCGUGGGAGCAAACAGG